AUUGAACGCUGGCGGCAUGCCUUACACAUGCAAGUCGAACGGCAGCGCGGACUUCGGUCUGGCGGCGAGUGGCGAACGGGUGAGUAAUACAUCGGAACGUACCCUGUUGUGGGGGAUAACUAGGCGAAAGAUUAGCUAAUACCGCAUACGACCUGAGGGUGAAAGUGGGGGACCGCAAGGCCUUCCGCAGCAGGAGAGGCCGAUGUCUGAUUAGCUAGUUGGUGGGGUAAAGGCCCACCAAGGCGACGAUCAGUAGCUGGUCUGAGAGGACGAUCAGCCACACUGGGACUGAGACACGGCCCAGACUCCUACGGGAGGCAGCAGUGGGGAAUUUUGGACAAUGGGGGCAACCCUGAUCCAGCAAUGCCGCGUGUGUGAAGAAGGCCUUCGGGUUGUAAAGCACUUUUGUCCGGAAAGAAAUCGCGCUGGUUAAUACCUGGCGUGGAUGACGGUACCGGAAGAAUAAGCACCGGCUAACUACGUGCCAGCAGCCGCGGUAA
rnacentral:rRNA from 1 species